CAGAAUCACGUAUCCAUGUGUACUGCAUGUCUGCAUGGCGCAGCAGCAGCUGUCCAAUAUGAAGCUCAAGCAGCUUCUCUUUCCACCAAGUGCAACAAUGAGCUAAAUUCGGCCAACCUACUGGCACGCAGCCACCACGAAGAGGUAAACCACGUCUCUGGUUUUCUGUACGGCCCCUUGUCAGCUUACGUGGUUGAUCCACUUGUCCCUAAAUUCAACAUAGAAAACAGAGUCAUAACUCAAGAUGCCAACUACAAAAUUACCAAGCAGUGUGGGGAUGAAAUAAUUUCUCGGUGGUUGUUCAAUCACAACAAUGAGGAAGAGCAGAUUAACAACGAUGGGCUGACAUAUGAAAAUGUUGAUGAGAACGUGGAUAUUGUAAAUUAUCGUGUUGGUACUCAAAUUGAGGACCAACAGCAGUACAAUCAGCUGCAACCCUACAGUUUUCAGCAGGCUUGUAAUGGAACCGAGAGCAUAGUGCCAGUUCAAUCAAUGCAAGCCGUGGAAGAACAUCCAGUACAGCUUCACAGCUUUUAUUUGGGACUUGAAAAUGAAGCUUUUAAAGCUGGCUUCAUACAAACCCCUUCAAGCAGGUGGAGUACUGUAAGUUUCUGAACCUCGAGAUUUCUAUCUGGAUUUCUAAUCUCUUCUUUGUAGUGUGUUUUUUUAUGGUUCAGAAAAAAAAGUCUCAUUUUUUUGGUUGUAUCCUAAUUGGGGUCUGAAAGGUAAGAUAUACCCUUUUCCUCUUUCUCUUUUCUGAGAUGCAUUCUUAGAUAUUUCGUCCUCUCCAUGGACAUAAAGCAGUAAUUUUUCUGCAGGGAAGUCAUAAUUGGCUCUUUAACAAAGCAGAUUAAUAACUGUGCGCUCCCUUAGAGUAGAAGAUUAGUUUAACAGCUCUAACUGAAAGGUCAGCUCUGAUAGAUUUAGAGCAUUCAGGUACGUAUUCAAGGACUUUCAUGAUUUUCACUCGGAUCAUCAGGAAAAAAAUAUCCCUAAUGCUUGUUCUAUUCUUGAUCUAGUUCCACUCUUGUAAGCUCAACAGCUUCAAAUUCAUGGAGUUUUUUCUCUGUUAUUUUUACAUCAGUUAAUUAGUUACUCGCUCCUUUAUUUCUUUAGAUUCAAUUUUUCCUGACAUUUCCCUUCUUGCUCUACUUGUUAGAUUCACAUCUAGAAGAUCUUGCUCUUUAAUUAUUACUCCCUCUACCAAGUUUUAUUUGUCAUAAUCGACUUUUUAUGGUCAAAUUGACCAUAUUUAGAACAAGAAAACAUUCUUAAGUUUAUUAGAUAUUAGAUAUAGACACAAAAUUAUUGUCAUAAGAAAGUACAUCAUCAAAGUGUACAAAAUUAUUAUCAUAAGAAAGUACGUACUAUACAAGUCAACUUAUUUGAUUUAAAUUUUUUUAAUACAUUUGUUUUAAUCUUUAAAUUAAAAAAUUUAAUCUUAAAAAGUCAAUUAGGAUAAGUAAAAUCAGACAGAGGGAGUAGUAACCUACUCUAAUUUUAACUUUACAAGCAGGCCUCUCUCCCAUCAAUGGAUGCUUGCAUUGUACCACAGGCAACAACGGGCAGCUACACAAAUUUGGACAGCAUACCUCAAGAAAAGACAUUUGGAUUAUUCUCGAGCACUGUGGAGAUAGUUCCACCCCAAUAUUGUCCCGUGACCAGGGAAGCCAAAGUCUUAAGAUAUAGAGAGAAAAGGAAAACACGGAAGUUUGAGAAGAAAAUAAGAUACAGCUCGAGGAAGGCCAAUGCAGAGACAAGACACCGAGUAAGUGGCAGGUUUGCUAGGAGAUCAGAAAUGGAUCUUGAACCGGAUCAAAUGCCCUCUAUAACAGAACAAGGCUAUGCAAUUGUUCCAUCGUCAAUAAGUAAUGGGAGAAACAUCACAUUUGGUCCCUAAAAUGUUACUUUCUAAUUUCUAGGCUAAUGCUGUAAUAAAUAACUAAGCAAGACUAACAAUGACAGCUUCUUAUUGUUAGAGUGCUUGAAUGACCAGAAGAAAUAUUCAUAAGGUUUUUUGUACAGAAUAUAUCACCUAAGAAAUAUGAAAGCUCCUUAUAUUAUUGACUUAAGAAUUUGAAUACAUGGCUUCCCUCCCCCUUCUUAUCAUAAGUACUUUCAAAUAUGCUCAGAUUUUCCCUUUGGUUGAUAUUCAUUUCAAUAGAACUUUUUUUUAUUUAUGUUGGGUUUAUCAAUCAUGCAAAUCAUAUAAAAGUGUCUAAUAGGCGGAAGAGAAUGGUUAUACAGGCGAAAGCUAGUAAGUCUUAAAGGUCUCCAUUGUGUUUUGUAGUUGAACCACCAGAAUGAGAAUCCAUUGACAACGACAAAAUCAAUCGUGCUGGCAGCAUCAAUUGUCCUAUCCAACACUAAGAUACCAUGAACUAGACUGGACCGAAAGACUACUCACUUUUCUCUUUUCUUAGUUAGUCUCAUUAGUUGUUCUUAAUAAGCUCAUUUCUUCAAAUACUUUCUAUCAGAUAAAACUUUACCAUCUUUUAAGUUUACUGAAUUUGGGGGAGAUAUGCAUCUGUUACAUAACUUUUAAUUCUAUACAAAAAAGAACUUAACGGAGCCUGUUUUGACAACUACAAGAUGUCAAUGUGAGAGUUAAUAGAAAAAAAAGGUCGUGGAGAUACUAUACUUGGAUUUUUCAUAAAUGAAAAGUAAAAUUGUGAACUUUUUGGUAACCUAUCAAAAGAAUUCCUUAUUUAAUUCUACAAAUUUUACACAUUAAUAAUUUAUUUUUAUUUUUCUGAGUUUGUGAUUAGAAGUUUCUCACCAACUGUAAUACCAUGCUCGUAGCCACACGGCCCACACCUGGACAUACAUUUAAAAUUUCCACAAAUUCUCAUUGUUCUUGUAAAGUUUUAUACUUUUGAUAGCAAUGUAUUGCAAGGUACUCAUCCAUAUAGAGAUUUAUCUUAAGCUAUUUAGGAUUUGGUUUCUACUAAGAAUAUGGUAGUGAUCUUAGAGGGGAGGGGGGGAAAGAAAAGUUGAUUGCAGUUUCACCUUUCUGAUGGAAAGAUGCACCCAAUUUGCCCCACACAGAAUUUGUGGAAAGGAUCUAGUAAGUAGGAAUGAGUGGGUUCAUAUAAAGUGUCCUCCUGUUCACCUUUAUCUCAAUUAACCUACCUGGCCUUCGCUUUUACACUCCCUUGAUCGGGUAUCUAAUUCUUCACUGCCUUUGGUUGCCAUUUACAUGGUUCCUGAAGGCCCUCACCCCACUCCGCAAAAAAGAAACACAUAAAAAAAGUCACCAUGUCAUCAAAGUUAUGCAUAAAACACCUUAAGCAAAAUAUGUCUAAAUAUAAAUGGUAUUCCUUAGCCAAACGAUCAAGUCUUAUGCAGCAGGAUGCCAUAUCAAGCUUAGUUUCACCAAUUUGUAAUGUCUACCCUUGCAGAACCUACCCUCAAAUAAGCACAUUAUAAAGUCAGAGUUAACCGACCCCAAGAUUGCAAAAAUCUAAGGCGGUAUGAAUCCCCCGUGUAUUUGAAAAUAUAAUUAGGAUAGCUUAAGUUGUGCUUAACCAAAGCUGAACCGUUGAUACCUUAGAUGUUUUCAUUCUAAGCAUAUGUAUCGCCGUAGCAUUAACUUCGUUUAAAUGCUGUAUCAAGUUGCAAUUAAACCUAAUCUUCAGUUUUUUCCCAUGAAGGAGAAGAGAAGUUAGGUAAUAAAGGUGCGCUAGCUGAACUACCAAGUACCUAGUCCAAGUAGCACAUUUCAUCUUUCAUGAAAGGAAAGAUGUGCAAAAAGUAAAGCAAGCUCAACCACAUGCAAGCAAAAGUGGGAUGAAAGGCGCUCUGGAGUCCUCCUGUACAGUAUGUCCAAAACUAUAUGACAACCUUUUAUUGCCAGAUGUGAACCAUUUUGGAUAGACAAAUCCGAUUUCUUUUGAUUCGGAUCGUAAGUGAUCCUCUGCACUUGUGUUCCAUGUGAAGUAUCUCUGCUUCAGCGUUCUAAUUGGUUAACCUCUGCACUUUAUCUACUUCAGGAAUGAGUAGGUGAGUUAAAGUGCUCUAGAAUCAUACUCUUAAAUAAUAUAUGGCCAUUGUUUUCAUCUUUAUCUCAAUCAUCCUACCUGGCCUUAGCUUUUACACUCCCUUGAUCAGGUAUCUAAUUCUUCACUGCCUUUGGUUGCCAUUUACAUGGUUCUUGCAGACCCUCACCCCACUCUCCGAAAAAGAAAUACACAUCAGAAAAGGCAACACUGAUCUCAAAGUUACGCAUAAAACGCCUUAAGCAAAAUACAUCUAAAGCUUCCAUAGCCAACCAAUCAAGUUCUAUGCAGGUUGCCACGGUACAUCAAGCUACAGCUUCUCCAAUUUGUAACAUCUUGCAGCACUUAACCUCAAAUAAAGCAGAUUAUAAACUCAAAAUUACCUGAUUAGAAAAUCAAAAAUAUAAUUUGAAUCAAAAUGGUUUGAAAUUUGAAUCCCACAUGUAUUAGAAAAUAUAAUUUUGAGUAGCUUAAUUUUGAGCUUAUAUAUAUAUAUAUAUAUAUAUAUAUAUAUAUAUAUAUAUAUAUAUUAACGUGUUGGCUUUAGCUUCUUCAACUACCACAAACAAUAACCCGUUCCAAGCAUACAAUAAAUCAAAGUUGAAUAAUUUUCAAUGAAUUAAAUAUUAUAUAAUACUAGUAACAACAACAACAACAACAACAAUUAAAUAGAAUAAAUGACAAGCCUUUCUCCUUGAAGAGUAGCAAGUGAAGAUAAAAUAUUUUAAGGAGUAAUUCAUACACCUCUUAAUUUCAUAUUUAUGUUGUAUCAAGUUGCAAAGCUAAUCUUCUAUUUUGUCAAGCUGAACUGUGAAAUACCUAGUCCCCUUUACCUUUCAUGAAAGAAAGAUGCAAAAAGUAAGGCAGGCUCAACAUGGAAACAAAAGUCGAAUGAAAAGCUCAUUGGAGUUCACCCAAAAUGUAUGCAUAAAAUUCUAGGGCUAAAUACACUUAUGUUACACCAAGUAUCACCAAAUUCAUAAUUCGGCCCUCAAAGUAACUGGACUUACAAAUUACUACAUAAAUUACCUAAUUGCAUACAAUGUCGACCCCAAAAUCAUUUUCCGGUGGAAAUUGGCUGAAAUACUCCAUUUUCCAGCAACUCGUUUGAUUUUCUACGAUUUGACCGUAUUUAGAUAACGUUUGACUUCAUUAUACAAUAAAAAUACUAACUAAAGGAAUUAUUUUUAUACUAAUUACUUUAAAGACUUAAUAGUGUAAAAAAAAAACUAAAAAAUAUCACCACACAACCGCCGCUCCUUAUCACCACCACUGCCCCUUAUCACCACCACUACCACCAACACCGCCAACAUCACCAACACCAUUACCAACUCCUCCAUCUCCAACAUCAAUCAAGCACCCCUUUCUUUCCUAAACUCCAAUCGUAUUUCGAAUUACUUCACAAUCACAACACAAUCUUCAAAAUUUUCACCUUCAAAUAAAUAGAUCUGAGCACAAAAUUGAAAGCAAAGUAUAUAAAAAAAAUAACAAAAAAAAAUUGAACCCACCUCUUUGAUCUUCUCUCAUUGUCAAAAUUGAACCCAAAUUUGGAUGAUUUUCUUUUUUCACGGUGUGAAAAUUUUGGAUGGUGGUGAAAACUGAAAGAGAUUCCAUGAAAGGUGAAGAAGAAAAAAUUAAUUAGGGCUCAUAAGGAGAAGAUGAAAGAUGAAAGAUGAAAGAUGAAGAUGGAGGAGCAUUUCUAGAAAUUUACCCCCUUAGUUCAAUAUGCACGUUCUAGAUGAAAAUAUAUAGGAUUUGAUUACCGUCAUGAUUGAAUCAGUUCGAUGUGAAUCUUUCCGUCACUGCAAAUGGGUCCUCUAACAAAUUCCUCCAUAAGCACAAAAUUGAUUUUGUGGUCAUGAUUCUCUCCCUCACGCGAUUCUAAUGGAGUUGCAAAUGAUGUUUACGAUUUUGUCCAAUCAAUAAGUAAAUUUAGUAUAUGAUUUGGAUUAUAAUCAGUAUGUGAUUUCAACUUUGGAUCUGGUGUAUUCGAGAAAUGAGCUUGGCUAUGUGAAAAAACAGAGCUUGGAGUUAGUGUGACAAAAAUUAGGAAGCAAAUGAUUUAACUAUAUAUAGUAUUAAAUUACUAUUUUUUUUAUUUGUUAAACAAUAUUUGGUAUAAUUUUAUUUGUAUAUUUUAAAGUUAACAUUAUUUGGGGUGAAUUGUGUUUAGAAGUAUUUUAAUUUGAGGUUAAUUGUAUUCAGAAGUAUUUUAAUUUGAGGUUAAUUAUAUUUAGAAAUAUUUAAUUUUUUAGUAAGUCAAACCGUAUCUGAAUACAGUCAAACCAUAUAAAACCAAGCAUGUUGCUAGCAGGGUCAGGUAUUCCAGUCAAUUUCUGCAGGAAAAUAAUUUUGAGGUCGACAUUGUAUGCAAUUUAGAUAGGACAAUUAUGCAUAUUGGGUACUAUGACGUUGUUUCUAUAACUAGAAAAUGAAAAAGGAAAAAUACAAAUUUCCAGUGCUUUUAUAAUGUUUAUUUUUCUAUUUUCUAUGCAGUAGAUAGGGUUGACAAUAUCAACAAGGAAAAGCCUUAAAAGAUUUUCAUUAAGCGGAGAGACUACUAGAAACAGCUAGAAAUGCUUCUAAACAGAAUAACUCAUAUUAUGAUUAUUAACAUUCAGCAUAUUGAUGUUCCAGCACCAAUGAUAAAUGCCAGAGUAAGAAAAUUAAUACAAUACAAGAUUGACAUCAUUUUGUGUGAACCAUCCAAAGAAAAUUGAUACCAUACAUGAAACAGGGUAUGCAAAUUUAAGAAAAUGUUCAGGUUUGAAGUUCCGUAGUGGCACAAGUAGACCAAGGAGAAUUGAUGUAUGUGAUUGAUUGACUAAUCCCAGAAAUAAGUAUAUAAUGGAAUAAGGUAAUAAUUGGUGAUAGAGAAUAACUUCAGAAAACUGAGACUCCAGACCAGAAAAUUCUCAAGAAGGUCAAAUGUUUCUCUUUUGUACACAACUGAUAUCUUAAUUGGAGUGUAGAUCCCCUUUUCUGCACAUAUCAAUACUUGGGAUUUAUUCUAGUACUAUCUCCGCUUUUAUUAAUAGUAUUGAGAUGUAAAUUCCUUUUUUUUGGGUCCAAUUGAAUGGAAGCUAUACUCUACAAGGUUAAGCUAUGCAUGUCACCAGUUCAUAGUGGUACCUUACCAUCAUAGUGUUACCAGUUCCCACAUUGGCAGAGAAGCCAAUUAAGCUGCAAACAGAUUGUAAUUACUGAUAGGCAAAAUGCAUGUUGCAACUUGGAAGCAUAAAAUAUUGCAUUGUCAACAAGAGAGUAGACAAAGACAUCAUCUAUAAUAAUUGGGGGUUCUGCAGUUCUUAUGCAGAUUACAUUACCUUAGGGACAUUUUAUUAAGGGCAAAAAGAGAAAACUCAUUAAAGAAAAAAAAAAGAUUAAAAAAAUAAUAUAAUUUUCAACAUUAUUUUCUUUUUCUUCCAACAUACUUGCUAUAGCCAGUUAGCCACCCUAAAUUAACCACGAUUCACAGGAAUCAAGCAUAAAUAACACGAGAUUACACUACCUCCAAUACAACGAACAAAUAAGAAGAAAUCAAAAUAAUCUAUAGAAUCAUGGCUUGUGUGAAGAAAAAACUAAAAAGACUUGAAUCACGCUAUCAUAAAUAAAACUUUGAUCAAUUAACUAUAUACUCAUAAUGAAAAGAUUAGCCUAAAUCCUAAUGCUGCAUAAUCUAAAGAGAGACACAAGAAGUUUUGAAUCACCAAGUAAAAUGCAACUACUAUAGCCAACAAGUAUAUUCAACUUAAUCUAUACCAAUUGGAAUAUUAAUCAAGCUUAUUGCAUUGAGUGUUAUAUGUGACAUAUAUGACGACAAAUUCAUGUCGAUACUAAAUACUACAUAUGUGGAUGCAUCGCUCGUAAAUAAGGAGCCCACAUAUUGUUUUUCUAUUUUAUCCUUAUUGGUGGUGAAGUCUGAUCUGAAUUUUAAUUUAGAGGUGAUCGUAAAGCUACCCAAAAGGUAGUUUUGUACUUUCGGAUUGAUUUAGGGCUUUUUAUGUUGUGUUAUAUUUGGAGGGGAUCAUGCAAUCGUAAGAUAUAUGAAAUUUCCAAAAUAUAGUGAAACUGAUCAGUCACUGUGUGAUUGUUUUUUUUAGAUUUUCUCUUUGUUAUUGUUUUCGCUCGUUGUUAUUCUCUAACAUUUAUCACCUACAUUUUUUCAUUCCUUGCAGUUCACAUUCAAUUAAAAUUAGAACACAAAAAUCAUUUUCCUAUUUCAUUUAAUCUACUUUAACUGACUAAUCAAUGAAAACCAAAAGCUAAUUAAAAAUUAAAAAGGACCCAUUACAUUUGUACAUACAUAUACAAUAUACAGUAUAUAAAAAUAAAUCAAAGUAAAUUACCUCGAAUAAAUAUGUAUCAAGUAUGAAGCGUACAAAGGGGAAGAACAGAAUAAACAAGGAAAGGCCCAGAAAUCUUGGUGAGCAGGGAAAGACUCCGAUUCCCAAUUGAUGGAAGCUAUGGAUUUCGACAAUAAACCAAUAAAAUUUCAGCAGAAAUUCGGCAAAAUUAAGAUUCUUUGAGGAGAAGAGAAAGUCUGGGGUGGGUUUUUGACGGAGAGGUGUAAGAAUCAAUUUUGGCGGUUGGACUGGAGGAUUAAAAUAAGUUCAGUCAUCAGUUGGAAAUGUGACAGCUGUUUUACAAUUUAGGCACUUAUUAUUA
rnacentral:lncRNA from 1 species